CUUUAUCUUAGUAGGCAGGGGUCAGCUUUUUUCUUCGAUUGGCACUGAUUAACCACCACCAUUUCAGGCAAAGGUGCACACCUGAAAGAACUCUUCAGCUACCGGAUAUGAACAUGAAGGACUGCUGGUACCCACACUCAGUCAAUGACUCACAGGAGCCUUGUUACUUUGGCAAGAAUUCUAUGUUCAUUUAAUAAGUUUGCAGAGACGGACGGAAAUCUGCUUUAUUACUCUCAUCCCUCAGCCCGGAAAGCCAAAUCCUUUAUCAGUACAGCUGCUGCUUCAUUCCACAUGUCUGAAGACACCGCUGUCUCCUCAAUCAGCAGCUUUGGCAGAGAGUCAGGUAAAGAAAUGGAAAUUUGUCAUUAACAGAAGAUAAAAACAGAGGGUGGAAGGAGGAAAUUGAAGCACAUUCUUGGACAAGAAUAAAAUCAUUAAAAUGUUAACAAAAGGUAAGAGAAAACAUUGAUUAAUAGAUUAUAUUGGAACAGCUGAUCCAAGAAACCCUCUGAUACAAGAUUUAGGAAUGAAAUACCACAAAAAUUCAGCAUCAGAACCUAACCAGAGUUCUGAUCCACUUCUAUGUAUAUGCUAGAAAUAAUUAGAUUGACAGAGUCUGGAAAUGGGAUUAGAGAUGUUUCAGCCAGGGAGGAAAAUAACUUCAUGCAGUGUGAAAGGCAGGUAGUUUAUUCCUCUAAGUGGAGUAGCUUGUCACCAAAAGCCUGUUUGUACCAAUUAUUCCAGUUCACAUGAGCCAGUCUCUGCUGAGGAUGCUACUUCACCACCAAUUUACUGCACCUUGCAGUGGGUCUGAGAGGUGUCCCAGCUGCCGCCAGGCCCCUCCCUGGGCUGACAGCUGUUAACAGCUCAGAGCUGCAGUGAUAAACAAAACAUGAGGGAGCACUGUGACCUGCUGUUCUGUGUUCCCUUCUCCAUAUCCACAAGAUGCAGUGCUGCUUCAGACAACUGCAAAAUCCAAGCAGGAAGUGAUAUAAAUGUUGAGAAUGGAUUCAUUAAGUUGUUGCUUUUAGUUUUACACUGGCUGCAACCCUGUAUGACUACAUAAGUCUCAGAGAAUGUAGAAAGUCUCACCUUAACGCUUGUUGUUGGUGAUGGAUGUAUUGCAAUCUUGUAAAAUUCUUGUGGAUUUCUCAUAAUUAUUUUUGUAAUUAUAAAUUGUUAUAUGAGUCAUGGUUUUAAAGCCAAGCCCCUAACGAUGUGAUAGAAAUCAGUUUUGGGGUGUUCAAGAAGACCAAUGAUCUGUUACUAUAAACAUUAUAAAACUUGUUUCAGUUGGCAGAGAAUGGAGAUUACUUGGUUAAAAUAUUAUGCAUUGUUAGGUAAGACAUCUUAAACUCCUCAUUUUCUAAUCAUUUAAAUACUAGAAACAAAAUUCAUCUUUCUUUAUAAACUCACUUUAUGAAAUUUUCUCCAUCAUAAAUGCUCCAAAAUUAAGCAACAUUAACUAACAAACUCAUGUGUGUUAAAACUAAAAAAAGCAAUAGUGGCAAAUAUGAUUAAUGAAAACAAAUGCAAACUCAAACCCUGAAGUCUCAUGUGGUUCUCAGAAACACAUUUGAAAUCCAGAUUAACAUUUUCAGUGCUCACUUAAGUAAUAGUUAAAAAAA
rnacentral:lncRNA from 1 species